rnacentral:lncRNA from 1 species
AUGGCUCUAUAUAAACAGGGCAGCCAAAGGGAGGAGGACCACAAGGCUGAGCGACCGAAAAGCAGGCUAAGCGGCCGCAGCCAUGAUGGAUCGACCCGAGUCGCCAACGGAAGACUUCCCAGGUCAGGCUGGUUUCCUGUUCACCCAACAUACCAGUUCUACUCCUGCUUCUUCCAGCGCCAAGCUGCCUUCCUCUUGCCACUGAGCCAAAUUUUCUACCCCACCUCCAGGUCUCAUCUAAAAGCCAUCUCUCCUGUGAAAACUUCGUAAGUAUU